AUGGCGUGUAGGCAGCGAAUCUGGAAGGAAGGCUGCCGGGGCUUGGAGCACGACGGCUGGCCGGCGCGCCAUGGCAUUGGGGGGAGGGGGCGUCCCAUGCUCCGGCCGUUUGUGUCCGCGCGAGGAGCUCACCCCCAAAGAACUCCUCGGGCGUCCUGCGGGCCCAGGCCAGAGGCGGCAGGCCCCAGCGCGGGUAGCCCGCCACGGGGGCAGACAGGAAGGUGUCGAUUCGGAUCACCGUGGUCCGACGACGCGCCUGGCGCCGGCGGGGGACGUGGGAGGGCAGCAGCUCACGGGCGAGGAGUCGAGGCCGGCGCGGGCGGCGGGAGGGGGGACUCGCCGUACCAGGGCUAUGACGUGCAGCGUCUGGCGAGGUGGGUGGACCACGCGCUACCCUUCUCCCUGCUCCUCCUCGACGUCUUCAUCCGCCAGCACCUGCAAGGUUUCUUCGUAAUGAUUUGGAUUACCGCAGUCAUGUUCAAGUCCAAUGAUAUCUUGCGCAAGCAGACCGCUCUCAAGGCUACAAGGUUGGGGGAGCGACCCUGCCGUUGUCAUGACGGCUGCUCCUUCUGGCCGGAUCGAGGCACGAAGACCUGUGGGAUCCCCUCCUUCGGUAGGACCUCCUCAUCUGGAGGACUGCAUGUGAUGAGUUAA
rnacentral:rRNA from 1 species